rnacentral:rRNA from 1 species
GACGAACGCUGGCGGCGUGCCUAAUACAUGCAAGUAGGACGCAGUUGCGAACGGGUGAGUAACGCGUAGGUAACUACCUAUUAGAGGGGGAUAACUAUUGGAAACGAUAGCUAAUACCGCAUACUAGUAGAUGGACCUGCGUUGUAUUAGCUAGUAGGUAGGGUAAAUGCCUACCUAGGCAACGAUACAUAGACGACCGUGGAGGGUGAUGUGUCACACUGGGACUGAGACGCGGCCCAGACGCCUACGUGAGGCAGCAGUAGGGAAUCUUCGGCAAUGGGGGGUAACCUGACCGAGCAACGCCGCGUGAGUGAAGAAGGUUUUCGGAUCGUAAAGCUCUGUUGUUAAGGAAGCGGUACUUAACCAGAAAGGGCCGGCUAACUACGUGCCAGCAGCCGCGGUAAUAC